GUAUUGGUAUUCAUUUGGGAAGUUGAGAAUGGCCAAAUGACCACGAAAAGCAAAAGCAGCUCUAUCAUAAGCUCUGGCAGCCUCCUCCUCCGUCUCAAACGUUCCUAGCCAGCGGCGUGCACCGUUCCUUGUUGGGUCACGUAUCUCUGCAGCAAACUUCCCCCAAGGCCGUCGGCGAAUCCCCCUGUACCGAGGCUCUCCGGUUGCCCUAUGUUGCUUCUUUGUACUCUUGUUCCCUGCUUGAGAUGCUUCUUCCAUAUUCUUGUUUUUCAGGCAGUGAUGGAGGUAGAGGAACUAACUAAACGGUCUUUGAUUUCAAUUCUGG
rnacentral:misc_RNA from 1 species